ACUGAGGGUUACGCUAGAGAGAUGAUGGUGUAGGGUAACAGUGACUGCCUAUGGGCCUGUAUAAUACGGCCCUGACAAGCUUCAGAAGUCCUGGGGUCAUCCAAGACUGAGAUCUGUCAUGUCUGCUCUCCUAAGCUGUGGCUGCUGGCUCUUCUCCCACUACAGAAUAGUCACCACCAUAGUCCCCACUGGCUGAACUGCAAACAGAGAAGAGAAACUGAGGCACUGUGUAAGUUAACUGCUGUGUUCAAGGUAACACUAUAAAAUUGGGCUGCAUUUCCUAUUUAUGCUGGCAGGGCUGCCUGCUUCCCCAACUGUCCCUGCCCCCGUGGCCCCCACCAAGCUCCUUGGGUUUCCAGUCUUGCCUCCAGCUGCACUGGGCCUUGGUUAUUUAUAGAGUACCAGAUGCCCAGGGUCAACUUUGCUAGCAGCUGUUGGUCAGUUCCCUCCCAAGUGCCAGCACUGGUAGAGAACCCAACCUGGAGACUAGAGGUCAAAGGAACCCAGCUAUGGGGGAGGUGGGGAAACAGAAAACAGCCCCAGUGCCAUCUCGGGUGUUCACACCAGGCUUGUGUUUCUCACCCCCCAGGCCUACUUACGACUCAUCUUAAAUCCCAAACCAGAAACUGAGGCAGGGAAUGGUGGAGGUGCCUCAUCUACAGUCCUGUGAUCACCCUGCCUGAGGACACGAGUGGGGAGCGGCAGGAAGUAGAGAAACCUCAGGCAGAGACCCUGGACCAAAAGGCUAUCUGCCUUCACAGGGGACCAGGAAAGAUGCCAAGAUGAUGUGAUGGCGGCAGAAGGAAGAAGGGAACAGCAGCCUUCAACACAAAGUCAGUGGAAGACACGUCAGAGGCAGCAUCCCAGGCAGAGAGAAUGGCAUGAGCAAAGGUGGAGAAGCAGGAAAUCGUGGAGGAACGUUCGGGAGGGUGAGCAGGCAAACUGGCUGAAGCACAGCGAUCUGCAAGGAGCAGUGGUGGGGAAGGCAGGGUUAAGAUGGAGAGGCAAAGGCUGAGAGAAGAGUAUGAGGAACUUAACUGACGGGAGCGGAACAGGAGGUCAAGGAACUUUGUGCAGGGACACCCCCAGAACUGGACUUUUGGGCAACUUUGGGGCCAGGUUAGGAGGACCCUGUAUUAGUACAAGGGAUAAUGAAGCCAGAGUUAAAGCUGUGUGGAGAGGAGGCUGCCAUUCAUAAGAAAAACCUGAGGGAGGAACUGAUGAGCCUCCUCUGCUCCCAGAAGCCUCAGCCCAGGGGCAGUCUCCUAUGAGCAGCAGGCCUUUAUUAACGAGACAGCUCCAGUUAAGUAACACAAUGAGAGAAAGGGAUGGGGCUAGAUUGGGCUGGGGAUGCGAGACGAAGCUGUGGGGGGCGGGGGGAGGGAUGUGAUGGGACAGUAUGUGAAGGUAGAGGCAGAUGGGUGGAGCUACUGACCACAUCAGGCUGCGACAGGAGAGGACUGGGGAAGACAGAGGGGAGGUGAUGAUGAGAAACAGACAAGUGUGAUGGUGACGGACCAGAUGGGGAAGAGCAAGAGUGACUCCAUGGAUGGUGACUAACUGGGACAUGACAGCAGGAGGUCAGAGGCCAGGUCAUGAGCUUCAGAAGAGCGAGGGAUGUGGUAAGUGGCUAAGUUAGGCUGCUGCUGGGGUAGUGGAGGGUCACUGGCAGCGGCUAAGUAAUGCUGGAGUGGGGAGGAGGGGCAGCUUGGGGUAGAGCCAAAGGCUGAAUCAGUCUGGAUAGGGGAUAGCGUUGUGGUCAGUGGCAGGGUCAAGCUGGUAGUGACACGGGGGUGUGGUCAGUGGCCUGGCUGGGCGUGGGAUCAGUAAGACCCAGUUUCCUCUUUGGGUAUCAUUUCCUCUUUUCCGUUGGGGAUGGGGGAAGGGGAUCUAUAACUGGACCUAGACGUUAAAGGAGGGUCAGAAACCUGGGGGGGACACACAGCAAGAGCUGGGAGGCGGGGGUCCAGCAGCUGACCAGGUGGCGCGCCUGAGAAAGUGCUUUAUGAUGAUGGGAAAGCUCAAAUUUGAGCGACAGAAACUAAAGUAGGGUGUGUGGAUGAACAGAUGGGGAAAGAGGAUGAGAAUGAAGAGUUAAGAUGGACAACCAGGAAAGAGCUAAAGGCCAGGAAAGAUUCUAUAAGGAAGUGUACAGGGUGUGCAUUUUAGGGCCAGGGGCAAGAGGCCAGCAGGGCAGGGAGGUAACGAAGCUGUAUGGUUAAACUGUGGGAGCUCAGGUGAAACAGUGUUUGCCUGGCCAGCUUCCCCUUCAGUCAUGGCCUCCUCUCUCCCAGUCUUCCCCACAGUCUGACUCCUGGGUCGCUUUCCAGUUCCCACCUUCCACCUAGUAAAAGGCGUAAAUCUAGAAACUCCUGCCUCCCAGUGAUGGUAGCCCCAGGAAGUCCCUGGUCCAGGUAUCAGCAGUUCUAGCUGGAGCCCAGACUGUCGCCUCUGGGUAAAAGAAGCCUCUGUGAUUACACCGGAAUAAGGGACCUCACCACGAAACAAAGGCAGCUACGUGCUGCCAGCCUCUCACGUUUUUACCUGUUCAACUGCGGCUGCAAAGUUCAACCCCUAUCGCUGCCACCCGUUCCUAACAUUAACCCUGACUUUGUUUACAAAUUCCCCAGACUUUGUCAUUCAUCCCUUCCACAGUAGACACCCAAACUAAUCUAGCUUUUAUUUUUAGGCCUAAAUCCCUCGACUUUAACCCUAAAUACUGAACCUUAGUCCUGAAGCUUAUUUUUUAACUUGCUUCCUAAUUCACCUUUCCACUGUUUAUUCUUAAUUCUAACCAUGACAAUGGCCUUUAAUCCCUAAAACGGGCUAUGUCAAUUCCUGUUGUUGAUCCUUAACCCGAUCCUGUACUCUGAUAUACGCUGGUCAUACCAUAAAACAAAAUAAUGACCUCAAUCUAAAUGUCAACUAAACGAAACAGACUUGACUAGUGCAGCUAAUGUUUCAAAUUUAGUCCAGCUUCAUAACUUCUAAAGGGAUCCCCGCUUCCUAAAGUCGACCGCACCUAAUCCCAAACUCACCCAAAGCUUUCCUAACCAUAUACUCACUAUCUGCUAACACCAAAGGACAUCCCCGCCCAGCGCCUCACUGCCACCCCAUUCCUCACCCUCCCCCAAACCUAGCCGAGACAGAGAACCGUCUGCUCCCACGAAAGGGGCCUGCCUCUCGCCACACGGCUAGCUUAACUCCAAACCCCAAACGAAACGCACUGGACGCUGACCUCCCCAACAGGACCGGACACAGGAUAUGCAGGAGGAUGGGGGGCCCCGCCCGCCCGCCGCUUCCCGGGCUGGCCUGUCCCCGCAGCCCCACCUAGAAGCUCCAGCCCGGCCCGCCGCCU